GAUGAAGAACGCAGCGAAAUGCGAUAAGUAAUGUGAAUUGCAGAAUUCAGUGAAUCAUCGAAUCUUUGAACGCACAUUGCGCCCCCUGGUAUUCCGGGGGGCAUGCCUGUUCGAGCGUCAUUUCACCACUCAAGCCUCGCUUGGUAUUGGGCAACGCGGUCCGCCGCGUGCCUCAAAUCGACCGGCUGGGUCUUCUGUCCCCUAAGCGUUGUGGAAACUUUCGCUAAAGGGUGUUCGGGAGGCUACGCCGUAAAACAACCCCAUUUCUAAGGUUGACCUCGGAUCAGGUAGGGAUACCCGCUGAACUUAAGCAUAUCAAUAGCGGAGG
rnacentral:misc_RNA from 1 species